UACGGAGGAUCCGAGCGUUAUCCGGAUUUAUUGGGUUUAAAGGGUGCGUAGGCGGAUGCUUAAGUCAGUUGUGAAAGUUUGCGGCUCAACCGUAAAAUUGCAGUUGAUACUGGCAGCCUUGAGUACAGUUGAGGUAGGCGGAAUUCGUGGUGUAGCGGUGAAAUGCUUAGAUAUCACGAAGAACUCCGAUUGCGAAGGCAGCCUGCUGGACUGUAACUGACGCUGAUGCUCGAAAGCGUGGGGAGCAAACAGG
rnacentral:rRNA from 1 species